rnacentral:misc_RNA from 1 species
GAUGAAGAACGCAGCGAAAUGCGAUACUUGGUGUGAAUUGCAGAAUCCCGUGAACCAUCGAGUCUUUGAACGCAAGUUGCGCCCGAAGCCAUUAGGCCGAGGGCACGCCUGCCUGGGCGUCACACGUCGUUGCCCCCCCAUCUACUCCUUCGGGAUUGCGGGGGGCGGAUGAUGGCCUCUCGUGCGCCUCGUCGCGCGGUUGGCCUAAAUGCCAAGUCCUCGGCGACGCACGCCACGACAAUCGGUGGUUGCGAAACCUCGGUUGCCUGUCGUGUGCGGUCGUCGCGCAUCGAGGGCUCGAAAAAAUUGCCGGGCUUCGGCUCGACGUUCAACGCGACCCCAGGUCAGGCGGGGUUACCCGCUGAAUUUAAGCAUAUCAAUAAGCGGAGGA